GACGAACGCUGGCGGCGUGCCUAAUACAUGCAAGUCGACCUUAGUUGCUUACGGGUGAGUAACCCGUUGGUAACCUACCCCUCCGAGGGAGAUACCCCUUGGAAACAGGUGCUAAUACCGUAUAUUGAUGGUUGGUCCCGCGGUGCAUUAGCUAGUUGGUGAGGUAACGGCUCACCAAGGCCAUGAUGCAUACCCGACCUGAGAGGGGGAUCGGCCACAAUGGGACUGAGACACGGCCCAAACUCCUACGGGAGGCAGCAGUAGGGAAUAGUCGGCAAUGGACGAAAGUCUGACCGAGCAACGCCGCGUGAGUGAAGAAGGUUUUCGGAUCGUAAAACUCUGGUGUGAGAGAAGCGGUAUCUAACCAGAAAGCCACGGCUAACUACGUGCCAGCAGCCGCGGUAAUUC
rnacentral:rRNA from 1 species